AUCUUCUUUGAAGGUAUGCUUAAGGAGGGGCUUGCGACACAUUAGUUAGUUGGCAGGGUAAAGGCCUACCAAGACUAUGAUGUGUAGCUGGACUGAGAGGUUGAACAGCCACAUUGGGACUGAGACACGGCCCAAACUCCUACGGGAGGCAGCAGUAGGGAAUUUUCGGCAAUGGAGGAAACUCUGACCGAGCAACGCCGCGUGAACGAUGAAGUACCUCGGUAUGUAAAGUUCUUUUAUUAAGGAAGAAAAAAGAGUGGAAAAACUCCCUUGACGGUACUUAAUGAAUAAGCCCCGGCUAAUUAUGUGCCAGCAGCCGCGGUAAUACAUAAGGGGCGAGCGUUAUCCGGAAUUAUUGGGCGUAAAGGGUGCGUAGGCGGUUUAAUAAGUCUAUAGUUUAAUUUCAGUGCUUAACGCUGUUGUGCUAUAGAAACUGUUUUACUAGAGUGAGAUAGAGGCAAGCGGAAUUCCAUGUGUAGCGGUAAAAUGCGUAAAUAUAUGGAGGAACACCAGAGGCGUAGGCGGCUUGCUGGGUCUUUACUGACGCUGAGGCACGAAAGCGUGGGGAGCAAACAGGAUUAGAUACCCUGGUAGUCCACGCCGUAAACGAUGAGUACUAAGUGUCGGGUAAAACUGGUACUGAAGUUAACACAUUAAGUACUCCGCCUGAGUAGUACGUACGCAAGUAUGAAACUUAAAGGAAUUGACGGGACUCCGCACAAGCGGUGGAUCAUGUUGUUUAAUUCGAAGAUACACGAAAAACCUUACCAGGUCUUGACAUUUUCUUGCGAAGUUAUAGAAAUAUAAUG
rnacentral:rRNA from 1 species